rfam:Ornithorhynchus anatinus chromosome 2, whole genome shotgun sequence.
AGCAGUGUGGCUCAGUGGAAAGAGCCUGGACUUGGGAGUCGGAGAUCAUGGGUUUGAAUCCCCACUCUGCCA